UACGUAGGGUGCGAGCGUUAAUCGGAAUUACUGGGCGUAAAGCGUGCGCAGGCGGUUCGUUAAGUCAGAUGUGAAAGCCCCGGGCUCAACCUGGGAACUGCAUUUGAAACUGGCGGGCUUGAGUGUGGCAGAGGGGGGGUGGAAUUCCUGGUGUAGCGGUGAAAUGCGUAGAUAUCAGGAGGAACACCGGUGGCGAAGGCGGCUCUCUGGACCACAACUGACGCUGAGGCGCGAAAAGCUAGGGGGAGCAAACAGG
rnacentral:rRNA from 1 species